GAUGAACGCUGGCGGCGUGCUUAACACAUGCAAGUCGAACGGACAAGAUGAAACCUAGUGAUUCUUGUUAGUGGCGGACGGGUGAGUAACGCGUGGGCAACCUGCCUCAUACAGGGGGAUAACAGUUAGAAAUAGCUGCUAAUACCGCAUAAGCGCACGGUACCGCAUGGUACAGUGUGAAAAACUCCGGUGGUAUGAGAUGGACCCGCGUCUGAUUAGCUAGUUGGUGGGGUAAAGGCCUACCAAGGCGACGAUCAGCAGCCGGCCUGAGAGGGUGACCGGCCACAUUGGGACUGAGACACGGCCCAA
rnacentral:rRNA from 1 species